UCAACAUCAUGGACUGCAGGACAACACUGCUGCUGUUAGCUUUCUGCUGGACAGGUGUAGCUGGUCAGACUCUGACAGAAUCUGAACCAGUGGUUAAAAGACCAGGAGAAUCCCACACCCUGACUUGUACAGCCUCUGGAUUCACAUUCAGCGACUAUGACAUGAACUGGAUCAGACAGGCUCCUGGAAAAGGACUGGAAUGGGUUGCUUAUGUCAGUAGUGGUGGUUUCAGCACAUAUUAUUCUCAGUCAGUCCAAGACAGGUUUACCAUCUCCAGAGACAACAGCAAACAACAGGUCUAUCUGCAGAUGAACAGUCUGAAAACAGAAGAUUCUGCUGUUUAUUACUGUGCUCGAAGAGACACAGUGAAUGAAGUACGUUCAGCAGCUGUACAAAAACCUCAAGUCACCUGAGAGUUAUCUGGUUGAUACUUGUAUUCUCUGUGAGGAUUGUAAGGCUUACAGUGAUGCACUUGCAGAAACACUUUACCCUGAUAGUAAGUGAUAGAAAAUAUACAUUUUCUAUCACUGUCCCACCAUCAAGAAUAUUAUAUCUAUUGUAAAUAAAUAAACUCUGCGUAUCUACGAGAUGUUUUUCAUUCAAUCUUCUGUUUGCAGAUGGGCUGAGGCCUUUUAAAACUUCUAUUUAAAACAAAUCCAGACACUGUUGCUAGUAAAAUCUCUGGUCAAUGUUUGCAUGUUAAAAUUGU